rnacentral:rRNA from 1 species
GAUGAACGCUGGCGGCGUGCUUAACACAUGCAAGUCGAACGGAAAGGCUCCUGCUUGCAGGGGUACUCGAGUGGCGAACGGGUGAGUAACACGUGGGUGAUCUGCCCUGCACUUCGGGAUAAGCCUGGGAAACUGGGUCUAAUACCGGAUAGGACGAUGGUUUGGAUGCCAUUGUGGAAAGUUUUUCGGUGUGGGAUGAGCUCGCGGCCUAUCAGCUUGUUGGUGGGGUAAUGGCCUACCAAGGCGUCGACGGGUAGCCGGCCUGAGAGGGUGUACGGCCACAUUGGGACUGAGAUACGGCCCAGACUCCUACGGGAGGCAGCAGUGGGGAAUAUUGCACAAUGGGCGCAAGCCUGAUGCAGCGACGCCGCGUGGGGGAUGACGGCCUUCGGGUUGUAAACUGCUUUCGCUAGGGACGAAGCGCAAGUGACGGUACCUGGAGAAGAAGCACCGGCUAACUACGUG